rnacentral:lncRNA from 1 species
CCACUGUGAAGUGUCAAUGGCGGGGGUGUAGCUUUGUGGUUUGAUGAGAAAAUCGACAUCAAGAUCAGAUUUUUUGUCAGUUUGAGUGGAAUGUGUUUGGGUUUCGUCUUCAUUUUUGGGUGAUUUGAUUUUCUUCUUCUUCUUCUCUGAGCGGGAGAGCUCGACGUCAGUCAUGGCGGCUUUUGGUUUCUAGGGGGUUCAGGUAGGGUUUAAGAAGCCACACUGUCUAGGGUUUUAAACUUUUAGCAGCGUGAGAA